rnacentral:rRNA from 2 species
AGAGUUUGAUCCUGGCUCAGGAUGAACGCCGGCGGUGUGCCUAAUACAUGCAAGUCGUACGCACUGGCCCAACUGAUUGAUGGUGCUUGCACCUGAUUGACGAUGGAUCACCAGUGAGUGGCGGACGGGUGAGUAACACGUAGGUAACCUGCCCCGGAGCGGGGGAUAACAUUUGGAAACAGAUGCUAAUACCGCAUAACAACAAAAGCCACAUGGCUUUUGUUUAAAAGAUGGCUUUGGCUAUCACUCUGGGAUGGACCUGCGGUGCAUUAGCUAGUUGGUAAGGUAACGGCUUACCAAGGCGAUGAUGCAUAGCCGAGUUGAGAGACUGAUCGGCCACAAUGGAACUGAGACACGGUCCAUACUCCUACGGGAGGCAGCAGUAGGGAAUCUUCCACAAUGGGCGCAAGCCUGAUGGAGCAACACCGCGUGAGUGAAGAAGGGUUUCGGCUCGUAAAGCUCUGUUGUUGGAGAAGAACGUGCGUGAGAGUAACUGUUCACGCAGUGACGGUAUCCAACCAGAAAGUCACGGCUAACUACGUGCCAGCAGCCGCGGUAAUACGUAGGUGGCAAGCGUUAUCCGGAUUUAUUGGGCGUAAAGCGAGCGCAGGCGGUUGCUUAGGUCUGAUGUGAAAGCCUUCGGCUUAACCGAAGAAGUGCAUCGGAAACCGGGCGACUUGAGUGCAGAAGAGGACAGUGGAACUCCAUGUGUAGCGGUGGAAUGCGUAGAUAUAUGGAAGAACACCAGUGGCGAAGGCGGCUGUCUGGUCUGCAACUGACGCUGAGGCUCGAAAGCAUGGGUAGCGAACAGGAUUAGAUACCCUGGUAGUCCAUGCCGUAAACGAUGAGUGCUAGGUGUUGGAGGGUUUCCGCCCUUCAGUGCCGGAGCUAACGCAUUAAGCACUCCGCCUGGGGAGUACGACCGCAAGGUUGAAACUCAAAGGAAUUGACGGGGGGCCCGCACAAGCGGUGGAGCAUGUGGUUUAAUUCGAAGCUACGCGAAGAACCUUACCAGGUCUUGACAUCUUGCGCUAACCUUAGAGAUAAGGCGUUCCCUUCGGGGACACAAUGACAGGUGGUGCAUGGUCGUCGUCAGCUCGUGUCGUGAGAUGUUGGGUUAAGUCCCGCAACGAGCGCAACCCUUGUUACUAGUUGCCAGCAUUAAGUUGGGCACUCUAGUGAGACUGCCGGUGACAAACCGGAGGAAGGUGGGGACGACGUCAGAUCAUCAUGCCCCUUAUGACCUGGGCUACACACGUGCUACAAUGGACGGUACAACGAGUCGCAAGCUCGCGAGAGUAAGCUAAUCUCUUAAAGCCGUUCUCAGUUCGGACUGUAGGCUGCAACUCGCCUACACGAAGUCGGAAUCGCUAGUAAUCGCGGAUCAGCAUGCCGCGGUGAAUACGUUCCCGGGCCUUGUACACACCGCCCGUCACACCAUGGGAGUUUGUAACGCCCAAAGUCGGUGGCCUAACCUUUAUGGAGGGAGCCGCCUAAGGCGGGACAGAUGACUGGGGUGAAGUCGUAACAAGGUAGCCGUAGGAGAACCUGCGGCUGGAUCACCU